rnacentral:lncRNA from 1 species
CGGCCGCCAAGACAGAGUCCGCGUUCGGCGCUGCUCCUUGAUGUCUCUACGUCAAGAACUCGACUCCCAGAAUACACAGGUGAGCAGCUUGUCUUCAGGGGCGGACCCAGACUAAAAACUGACUGGGGGCACUCAUCAAUAAGAAAACUCAAAAAGGCUUAUAAACCUCACACUAUGUCAUACACAAAUGCUCUCUUCGAUCCAUAUUAAUUGUCAAGUGAGCCACAAUCAAUAUGGAUAUGAGGGAGUAGCAGUUUUCAAUAAGUCAUAAGAUACUUCAACCAAGUUCUAAAAAAAAAAACUUCAUCCAACAGAGCCAUGGUGAGUUUAUCACUAAAGUGAACAUACCUUAUAAAAAGAGUUUAUAUCUCAAUAGUACAUAGAUUGCAAAAGAGAAUAUGUUGUCUCUAACAUAAAUGCCGCUACCUGCAAAGAAGAAACACAUAUUUGGAUUAGCUUCUUAAAUGCUAAUGGAGAUGGUAAACAUGUAAAAGAUGCAAUGUAUUAGACCAUUACAUUUCCACACGAUGAUCUUUCAUUUUAUGGAAAUGAUGCAAUUUCUCAACAGUGACAAUGGUAACGAGUGGUGGCGUUACUAUCUCUUUAUUUCUUUAUCAAAUACUUCUCCAUUAUCUUCCUUCUUCCCUGCCAAAUCAUUGAAAUACUAACUAUAAAGAGUUUAGAUAAAAGGAUGCUAGUAUCAGCAGGCUAGCACGCGAGUACUAGUUCUGUAUUAGUAAAUCCGAGAGUAGAAAAUCCAGUCUCAACAGAAUGGGUUCCCAGAUUGAAUUUCAUAGAAAAUUUGAUUAUAACAAAGCAUGCUACUAUGUUAAGAAAAAAGCAUGGUACUAGCAGGCUAGUACACUGCACGUCUGCACACAAGUACUAGCACUGUAUUCUCAAAUCCUAGAAAAUGACCUAGCAGUUCUAUACUAGCUACUCUGCUGUAGUGUGUCACAUUUUAAUCCUAUCAAAUUUGAUUAGAAAAAGUACAUGGCUAAUAAGAUUAGCAGUCCUAUACUAGCACAAACAGAAUUUUUGCAUUUGAUUUGACAAGAAUCAAAACCAGAAAUCCAAAAAAGAAAAAAAAAAUCCUUUCACGAAUGGAUCAGCUCAAGAAGAACAAACCUAGUUUCAGAGUUCGCCAGUUGAGGAUGAAGGAUGAGGAUGAUGAGCAAGGGAGUGACCAGCCUCCCGUGACCUACAUAGGCAGGCCGGCCGCCGGCGGGGGCGCGCGGCGGACUCUGCGGAGCAACGGAGGGAGAUCGUGGCAGCAGGCGGCGGUCGAGCCGACGGUUCGUUUGGUUUGUAUAAUUAAUUUCCAGCAAGAAUCGACGCAG